UGGCGGCGUGCCUAACACAUGCAAGUCGAACGAAGCACUUUCCUCGAUCCCCUCGGGGUGAAGGAGAAGUGACUUAGUGGCGGACGGGUGAGUAACGACGUGGGUAACCUGCCUCAUACAGGGGGAUAACAGCUGGAAACAGCCGCUAACACCGCAUAAGCACACAGCACCGCAUGGUGCAGGGUGAAAAAUAUUUAUAGGUAUGAGAUGGACCCGCGUCUGAUUAGCUAGUUGGUAGGGUAAAGGCCUACCAAGGCGACGAUCAGUAGCCGGCUUGAGAGAGUGACCGGCCACAUUGGGACUGAGACACGGCCCAAACUCCUACGGGAGGCAGCAGUGGGGAAUAUUGCACAAUGGGGGAAACCCUGAUGCAGCGACGCCGCGUGAGUGAAGAAGUAUUUCGGUAUGUAAAGCUCUAUCAGCAGGGAAGAAAAUGACGGUACCUGACUAAGAAGCCCCGGCUAACUACGUGCCAGCAGCCGC
rnacentral:rRNA from 1 species